UACGUAGGUCCCGAGCGUUGUCCGGAUUUAUUGGGCGUAAAGCGAGCGCAGGUGGUUUAUUAAGUCUGGUGUAAAAGGCAGUGGCUCAACCAUUGUAUGCAUUGGAAACUGGUAGACUUGAGUGCAGGAGAGGAGAGUGGAAUUCCAUGUGUAGCGGUGAAAUGCGUAGAUAUAUGGAGGAACACCGGUGGCGAAGGCGGCUUACUGGACUGUAACUGACGUUGAGGCUCGAAGGCGUGGGGAGCAAACAGG
rnacentral:rRNA from 1 species